rnacentral:rRNA from 1 species
AUGGAGAAGCUCGGCCUCCAAGAGGAUGAUCUGGAUGACGUAGUUUUUGAGGAUCAAGAAGCACCCUCACCAGAGGCGAUCAGGUGGAUGGCGCUGGCUCGGGUUCAUACGGAGAAAGCCUACAGUCAGUACUGGUUCUUUAGGACGAUGAGAGCGGCAUGGGAUCUGGCCCAAGAGGUAAAGAUUAGACCGCUCGAAGACAAUCUAUACACCCUGCAAUUCUCGUGUUUGGGCGAUUGGGAGAGAGUCAUGCAAGAAGGACUGUGGAAUUUCAAGGGUUUUGCGGUGAUUAUUUCACCUUACGACGGAUUCACAAAACCGUCUCAAAUCAAGCUUGAUACUCUCGAGAUCUGGGCUCAAAUUCAUGAUCUUCCUGAUGGUUUCUGCCCCAUGCUGAAGGCUUUGGUGGGGAGGAUUGGUGAACUGGCGUUUGUGGAACCUAAGUCCCACGAUUUUGAAGGAAACUUCUAG